GCUUAACACAUGCAAGUCGAGCGGUAAGGCCCUUCGGGGUACACGAGCGGCGAACGGGUGAGUAACACGUGGGUGAUCUGCCUCGCACUCUGGGAUAAGCCUGGGAAACUGGGUCUAAUACCGGAUAUGACCACUCCUCGCAUGGGGGUUGGUGGAAAGGUUUACUGGUGCGAGAUGGGCCCGCGGCCUAUCAGCUUGUUGGUGGGGUAACGGCCUACCAAGGCGACGACGGGUAGCCGACCUGAGAGGGUGACCGGCCACACUGGGACUGAGACACGGCCCAGACUCCUACGGGAGGCAGCAGUGGGGAAUAUUGCACAAUGGGCGAAAGCCUGAUGCAGCGACGCCGCGUGAGGGAUGACGGCCUUCGGGUUGUAAACCUCUUUCGACAGGGACGAAGCGCAAGUGACGGUACCUGUAGAAGAAGCACCGGCUAACUACGUGCCAGCAGCCGCGGUAAUACGUAGGGUGCGAGCGUUGUCCGGAAUUACUGGGCGUAAAGAGCUUGUAGGCGGUUCGUCGCGUCGAUCGUGAAAACUUGGGGCUCAACCGUGAGCCUGCGGUCGAUACGGGCGGGCUAGAGUACUUCAGGGGAGACUGGAAUUC
rnacentral:rRNA from 1 species